rnacentral:rRNA from 1 species
GAUGGACGCUGGCGGCGUGCUUAACACAUGCAAGUCGAACGGAAAGGCUCCUGCUUGCAGGGGUACUCGAGUGGCGAACGGGUGAGUAACACGUGGGUGAUCUGCCCUGCACUUCGGGAUAAGCUUGGGAAACUGGGUCUAAUACCGGAUAGGACGAUGGUUUGGAUGCCAUUGUGGAGAGAUUUUUCGGUGUGGGAUGGGCUCGCGGCCUAUCAGCUUGUUGGUGGGGUAUUGGCCUACCAAGGCGUCGACGGGUAGCCGGCCUGAGAGGGUGUACGGCCACAUUGGGACUGAGAUACGGCCCAGACUCCUACGGGAGGCAGCAGUGGGGAAUAUUGCACAAUGGGCGCAAGCCUGAUGCAGCGACGCCGCGUGGGGGAUGACGGCCUUCGGGUUGUAAACUCCUUUCGCUAGGGACGAAGCGCAAGUGACGGUACCGGGAGAAGAAGCACCGGCUAACUACGUG